rnacentral:snoRNA from 1 species
UCCCUCCAGAUUCCUUAUCCCUUAAACCAAAACAGUGGUUUGACUGGCUGAAAAAGAAAAGGAGGGAAAGUAAAACUGAAAUGGAUUGGAGUCUUCAGCGACAAGCAAAAAGAAUGUCCACACCAAUCUAAAUAAAAAAGCU